GAUGAACGCUAGCGGCAGGCCUAACACAUGCAAGUCGAGGGAGGAGCUUUCGGGCUUCGACCGGCGUACGGGUGCGUAACGCGUAUACAAUCUGCCUUUCACAUAGGGAUAGCCCGAAGAAAUUUGGAUUAAUACCUAAUGGUAUAUAGGAGUGGCAUCACAUUUAUAUUAAAGCUGAGGCGGUGAAAGAUGAGUAUGCGUUCUAUUAGCUAGUUGGAGAGGUAACGGCUCCCCAAGGCGACGAUAGAUAGGGGUUCUGAGAGGGAUAUCCCCCACACUGGUACUGAGAUACGGACCAGACUCCUACGGGAGGCAGCAGUGAGGAAUAUUGGACAAUGGUCGGAAGACUGAUCCAGCCCUGCCGCGUGCAGGAAGACGGCCUUAUGGGUUGUAAACUGCUUUUGCAGGGGAAGAAUAAGGACUACGAGUAGUUUGAUGACGGUACUCUGCGAAUAAGCAUCGGCUAACUCCGUG
rnacentral:rRNA from 1 species